GUGCCCUCGACGAGUCCAGCGACUCGGUACUCGCGGCUCGCGUCUCCGACGCUUCCUAACGAGCACGCGAGCCGCGUGAAGCGCGCGAUACGCGCCGCGGCAUUGAGAAUUAGACGAAAAAUAAAUCUGGCCAUCCCGGAGGUGACGCCCGACCCCGGAGGUGACGCCGGUCGCCGGAGGUGACGCCGGCCGUAACGAUCGCUCGCAGCGGCUAAGUCCCGCGCCUGUCGUCGUAUCGACGCUCUCGCCCGUAUACCGCCGUGCUAGCAGCCGUGCGUCGCCGACCGCUCGGCCGGACGGUUGGGUACUGUAAGAGGUACGAUGCGCUCGACGCGAGGCAACGUACGCUAUGUGAAACACGGACCAAUUCGCGCGUAUCGCUGGGCGUUAUCGUCCAUCGCGAUGCGUCGCUCGCUCGCCGUUGCGGCACCACGCAUUUCUCUUUUCAGGCACAACGUUUACACUUCUUCAGAGCACAGCAUUGCCACGAGUCGGUGUCGCAAGACCGAAUGGCUCAUAUGUGGCGCGCACUACGAAGUGUUGGUCGCGCGAUUCCGCAGGGGAUCGUCGCGCUUACCGAACAUCAACUCCACGGAGACCGAAUGGCGGAAGGUGAAUCUACGAUUCCCGGAUCACUCUUCCGCGCUCGCUUGUAAGCCGCAGCGAAAUAAUUCCUGUUGAACGGAUCGCAUGGUUCCUCGACGUAAGCAGCAUCGCCUGGUCGAUCUAACCGUCAGGGCCGAGACGAGAGCCGGCUCUACACGCCGAGCUCUCUAACAAAGGGGAGAAUGAGAACACGAUCUUGAAAUGAAAAGAGAAUGAGCACUCACCAACGCAGUGCGGAACUCUCAAAUCAAAUUGCGAGAAUUACUAGACCGAGUGUCGCCGACCGGCUACCUCCGAGAGGUCCGGCGGCAGAGAUACGACACACACGCGAUCGCGGAGCGAGCUCGCUCGCCUCCGCGAUCUCGGCGCUCCGCUCGCCACGAGCGAGCGAGCGCGUGCUGCGCGCACUACGUGCGCUCGCACCGAGAUUCCUGGUUGAUCCUGCCAGUUGUCAUAUGCUUGUCACAAAGAUUAAGCCAUGCAUGUCUCAGUGCAUGCCGAAUUAAGGUGAAACCGCGAAUGGCUCAUUAAAUCAGUUAUGGUUCAUUAAAUUGUACCGAAAUUUACUUGGUUAACUGUGGUAAUUCUAGAGCUAAUACAUGCAACACAGAGUCCCGACCAGUGAUGGAAGGGACGCUUUAUUAGAUAAAAACCAAUCGGUGGCGCGCGGUCCGCCGUGCGUCCACCGCUUAUUUUGGCGACGCUAAAUAAAUUUGUACUGAUCGUACGGUGUCCGCACCGGCGAUGCAUCUUUCAAAUGUCUGCAUUAGCAACUGUCGAUGGUGGGUUCUGCGCCUACCAUGGUUGUAACGGGGAAUCAGGGUUCGAUUCCGAAAAGUGAGCCUGAGAAAAGGCUCUACCACAUCCAAGGAAGGCAAAAAACACGCAAAUUAACCACUCCCGGCACGGGAAAGUAGUGACGAAAAAUAACAAUAAGGACUCAUCAGAAGUCCUGUAAUCGGAAUGAAUGCAAAUUAAAUCCUUUAAAAAGGAUUAAUUGAAGGGUAAGUCUGGUGCCAGCAGCCACGGUAAUUCCAGCUCCAAUUACGUAUAUUAAAAGCUAUUGCGAUAAAAGAGCUCGUAGUUGAAUCUAUGUUGCACACGUUCGGUUCACCGCUCGCGGUGUUAAAAUCGAAAUCGCGUCUCUAGACGACUUAAAUACCUGGCGGGGUGUUGUACUCAGUGGAGCAGUCACCACGCUGCGGUCUGUUGAGUCUCAACCCUCGGCUUGGGGAUUCGUCUUGUCGGUUAGACGAGA